rnacentral:pre_miRNA from 1 species
UUUGUACUCCCUCCGUCCGGAAUUACUUGUCGCAAAAAUGGAUAAAAGCGGAUGUAUCUAGAACUAAAAUACUUCUAGAUACAUCCAUUUCUUUGACAAGUAUUUCCGGACGGAGGGAGUAUGUU